AGAGUUUGAUCCUGGCUCAGGAUGAACGCUGGCGGCGUGCUUAACACAUGCAAGUCGAACGAAGCACUUGAGAUUGAUUCUUCGGAUGACGUCUUUUGUGACUUAGUGGCGGACGGGUGAGUAACGCGUGGGUAACCUGCCUCACACAGGGGGAUAACAGUUAGAAAUGGCUGCUAAUACCGCAUAAGCACACAGCUUCGCAUGGAGCAGUGUGGAAAACUCCGGUGGUAUGAGAUGGACCCGCGUCUGAUUAGCUAGUUGGUAAGGUAACGGCUUACCAAGGCGACGAUCAGUAGCCGACCUGAGAGGGUGACCGGCCACAUUGGGACUGAGACACGGCCCAAACUCCUACGGGAGGCAGCAGUGGGGAAUAUUGCACAAUGGGGGAAACCCUGAUGCAGCGACGCCGCGUGAGUGAAGAAGUAUCUCGGUAUGUAAAGCUCUAUCAGCAGGGAAGAAAAUGACGGUACCUGACUAAGAAGCCCCGGCUAACUACGUGCCAGCAGCCGCGGUAAUACGUAGGGGGCAAGCGUUAUCCGGAUUUACUGGGUGUAAAGGGAGCGUAGACGGCGGAGCAAGUCUGAAGUGAAAGCCCGGGGCUCAACCCCGGGACUGCUUUGGAAACUGUUCUGCUAGAGUGCUGGAGAGGUAAGUGGAAUUCCUAGUGUAGCGGUGAAAUGCGUAGAUAUUAGGAGGAACACCAGUGGCGAAGGCGGCUUACUGGACAGUAACUGACGUUGAGGCUCGAAAGCGUGGGGAGCAAACAGGAUUAGAUACCCUGGUAGUCCACGCCGUAAACGAU
rnacentral:rRNA from 1 species